UACGAAGGGGCCUAGCGUUGUUCGGAAUUAGCUAGGGCGUAAAGGCGCGUAGGCGCCUGUUAAGUCGGACGUGAAAUCCCUCGGCUCGAACCGGGGAACUGCGUCCGAUACGUGGCGGGCGUUGAAUUCGGGAGAGGGAUGUGGAAUUCCAGGGUGUAGUCGGUGAAAUGCGUAGAUAUCUGGAGGAACACCGGUGGCGAAGGCG
rnacentral:rRNA from 1 species